rnacentral:sRNA from 1 species
UUUUAGCCCCGAUAGCAGUGAAAAUCCUUAUGAGCCGGGGUUCGGCUUAUAAGAUUGUAACGGAUAGCGGGAACCCAU